rnacentral:rRNA from 1 species
UAUAAGCAUAUUACUAAGGA